UUACGGGAGGCAGCAGUCGAGAAUUUUUCACAAUGGGCGAAAGCCUGAUGGAGCGACGCCGCGUGGGGGAUGAAUGGCUUCGGCCCGUAAACCCCUGUCAUUUGUGAACAAACCUCGUUAUUUAAAAGAUGACGAGCUGAUUGUAGCGAAAGAGGAAGGGACGGCUAACUCUGUGCCAGCAGCCGCGGUAAUACAGAGGUCCCAAGCGUUGUUCGGAUUCACUGGGCGUAAAGGGUGCGUAGGUGGCCGGGUAAGUCUGAUGUGAAAUCUCCAAGCUUAACUUGGAAACUGCAUCGGAUACUAUCCGGCUCGAGGAUCGGAGGGGAGACUGGAAUACUUGGUGUAGCAGUGAAAUGCGUAGAUAUCAAGUGGAACACCAGUGGCGAAGGCGAGUCUCUGGACGAUUCCUGACACUGAGGCACGAAAGCCAGGGGAGCAAACGGGAUUAGAUACCCCGGU
rnacentral:rRNA from 1 species